rnacentral:rRNA from 1 species
CCCUUAGAUGUUCUGGGCCGCACGCGCGCUACACUGAUGCAUUCAACAAGUUCACCUUGGCCGAGAGGCUUGGGCAAUCUUUUGAACAUGCAUCGUGAUAGGGAUAGAUUAUUGCAAUUAUUAAUCUUGAACGAGGAAUUCCUAGUAAACGUAGAUCAUCAAUCUGCAUUGAUUACGUCCCUGCCCUUUGUACACACCGCCCGUCGCACCUACCGAUUGAAUGGUCCGGUGAAGCCUCGAGAUUGUGGCCAGCUCGCUUUAUUGGGAGUUGGUUGCGAGAACUUGUCUAAACCUUAUCAUCUAGAGGAAGGUGAAGUCGUAACA